rnacentral:lncRNA from 1 species
GCAGGUUAAAAUCGACCAACAUGACACAAUGAAAGAUCUAUCAUAAGGUAAGUGGUGAUAGUUUAAUAAUUAAGAUUAUUAUAUGCAUCGGUUAUUAAGAUCAUCACACAUGAAAUAAAUGGUGAUAGUUUAGUGUCAAUAGUGAUAGUUUUAAUCCUUCUAAAAGUAAUACCCAUGAAGUUUUCUUCAUUCAAGGAUCCCAGGACCACUUGAUCAAGCUAAAUGCUUUAUGAUUUAUAUAUGUUCCUAUAAGAUCAAUAUUUUCUUUAUCAGUGUGUAAUCUUCAUUUUCAAAGGAUUGUUUUAAAAAAAAUACCAACGAUUUUGACUUUCUCUUGCUUUAAAGAGAAAUUUAUAUUUUCAUACAAAAAAACUUAUAACUAAAUUAAGAGAAUGAAUAAACGGCAAUGUAAAUUUAUAAAAUAGCCGUUCAAAUAAGGUACUAAUUUUAAUUUAUGAAUAUAUAUGUAUAAUUUUUUAUUUAUUUAAAAUAUAAUUAAUGACAUUGAUCAUUAAGGUACUAAUUUUAAUUUUUAAUUCUAUUUUAUAUGCAGAUUCAUUUGGUAGAAUGAUGAUGGUCUCAUCUAAGGCACAAAUUCAAGACACUGAAUAGUAGUCCUUUACCUUCUUUUUUUUUUAGUUGUGUUUUUCAAUUUGCUACUUAUACAUUUUAGAGAUUUAUGUUCAACUGUUGCAAUAUAAUGUAACUUGAUUAAUGAUGUAGACAUAUAUAACUUUUCUUUAAUUUCAAUGCUUUUGUCGAAUGCAUUAUUUAUGAUAAUUUUUU